GACGAACGCUGGCGGCGUGCUUAACACAUGCAAGUCGAACGGUAAGGCUCCAGCUUGCUGGGGUACACGAGUGGCGAACGGGUGAGUAACACGUGGGUGACCUGCCCUGCACUUCGGGAUAAGCCUGGGAAACUGGGUCUAAUACCGGAUAGGACCGCACCGUGAGGGUGUGGUGGAAAGUUUUUUCGGUGUGGGAUGGGCCCGCGGCCUAUCAGCUUGUUGGUGGGGUAAUGGCCUACCAAGGCGGCGACGGGUAGCCGGCCUGAGAGGGUGGACGGCCACAUUGGGACUGAGACACGGUCCAGACUCCUACGGGAGGCAGCAGUGGGGAAUAUUGCACAAUGGGCGGAAGCCUGAUGCAGCGACGCCGCGUGGGGGAUGACGGCCUUCGGGUUGUAAACUCCUUUCACCAUCGACGAAGGGUUUCUGACGGUAGAUGGAGAAGAAGCACCGGCUAACUACGUGCCAGCAGCCGCGGUAAUACGUAGGGUGCGAGCGUUGUCCGGAAUUACUGGGCGUAAAGAGCUCGUAGGUGGUUUGUCGCGUCGUCUGUGAAAUUCCGGGGCUUAACUCCGGGCGUGCAGGCGAUACGGGCAUAACUUGAGUACUGUAGGGGAGACUGGAAUUCCUGGUGUAGCGGUGAAAUGCGCAGAUAUCAGGAGGAACACCGGUGGCGAAGGCGGGUCUCUGGGCAGUAACUGACGCUGAGGAGCGAAAGCAUGGGGAGCGAACAGGAUUAGAUACCCUGGUAGUCCAUGCCGUAAACGGUGGGCGCUAGGUGUGGGUUUCCUUCCACGGGAUCCGUGCCGUAGCUAACGCAUUAAGCGCCCCGCCUGGGGAGUACGGCCGCAAGGCUAAAACUCAAAGGAAUUGACGGGGGCCCGCGCAAGCGGCGGAGCAUGUGGAUUAAUUCGAUGCAACGCGAAGAACCUUACCUGGGCUUGACAUAUACAGGAUCGCGCCAGAGAUGGUGUUUCCCUUGUGGCUUGUAUACAGGUGGUGCAUGGUUGUCGUCAGCUCGUGUCGUGAGAUGUUGGGUUAAGUCCCGCAACGAGCGCAACCCUUGUCUUAUGUUGCCAGCACGUUGUGGUGGGGACUCGUAAGAAACUGCCGGGGUUAACUCGGAGGAAGGUGGGGAUGACGUCAAAUCAUCAUGCCCCUUAUGCCCAGGGCUUCACACAUGCUACAAUGGUCGGUACAGUGGGUUGCCAGUCCGUGAGGGCGAGCUAAUCCCGCAAAGCCGGUCUCAGUUCGGAUCGGGGUCUGCAACUCGACCCCGUGAAGUCGGAGUCGCUAGUAAUCGCAGAUCAGCAACGCUGCGGUGAAUACGUUCCCGGGCCU
rnacentral:rRNA from 1 species